GCUGAAGUGGGAUCCUUAUGGCUGUGGAGAUAUAUAUCCUGAUUUAAUUGUGCAGGAAACCACUAGACCAACCUGUUACACAGCAUCAAGGCACAGAACUUUCUUCAGUUAUUUUUAUAAGCCUUUACUUGAAGCAGGUUCUUCUAUUCUGCUGCAUUUACUGGAUUGAGGAUGGAGUAUUUCGUGAUACACAGCAAUCUUCGUUACCUUGGAGGUACCAGCUUUCAGUGCAGCAGAAUGGUAGGAUAUUCUGAAGAGUAAUUAAUUGGAGAACUUUGUGCUACUUCAGUAGUUCACUAUCCCAGAAAAGGUCUCUGAAGAGG